CAACACGUGGAUUUUAGAGCGUUUGUCAUUAAAAUAAAGAAUCUAUAAACAGAAAUAUAGGUAGAAUUAGCAAAAUGAAAAAAAAAAACAAGGGAACCGACAAAUGGCGCAAAUGAAAUUAUUCUUUUGACUGCAAUAGCAAUCCAUGCAGCUUUUGGCAUUUUAAAUCUUCACCAUGUGGGAAUAUUAUGGGAAAACCUUGAGCAAACAUUUGAUUUUUACCAGAACCUAUUCCUAUUGGGUGUGUGAAGAUAAAAGAGGCAAGACCUCAUGAUAAGCUCCCAUAUAGGAGAUGCAUGACCCUGGGUUGAUUCUAAGAUGAUUCACUUGAUGGAACUGCCAAAUCCUGACCCUCCAACAGGCAAGCCCCAGCAUGGACGGCGAGAUCGUCGUGAAUUUUUCGCAAGAACACUAAGGUUUGUUGUCUCUUAUUUCACAAGUAUAUUUUGAUUAUAGACGUAGUGAUUUUUUUUUUCAAUUAGAGACCCAAUUUCACAUGUUAUUUAAAUUUUCCCACCAUUUGGUAUAAAUUAUUCAUCAUUCAAGAAUGUCGGCAUAAUUAAUAUAUUCUUUAUUAAAUAGAUGUCUAACUUCACGUUGUGACUAAACGUUUACUGCAUAAUUGAGCUAAUUAAUAUACAAAUUACUUCAAAAUGUAAUUAUAUAAUUGUGAAUUGUAAAUUCACUCAUUAAUUUGACAAAAGCGUUGUAAUAUAGGAAUAAACGUCUUCAUCUCAACAGAGUGGUGGGUGAGGUCCACACACCAACUAAAACUUAUAAACUACUUUACCAUAAUAAUCCUCCUGAUGUAUCUUGAUUAUGUUCUCUUUUUAGAACAAAAAUGAAACAAAAGUUAUAUUUGUAUAUAUAAAUAGUUCGAUACACAAAAUUUAUAUCACAACUAUUUAUUCACCAGUUGGUAUGGAUUUCACAGAAUUGGUAUUACUAACAUCACACUUUUAGAUUAAGGCAUGGAUUUUCAAAGCAAGCAAAGUUUGAUCUAUAUGUCAUCAGUCAGUCAAUUGGAUGAUGGAGACCAAAAGAGGUUUACACGAUGGUUGGAGUGGUGAUGUUUGACGGGUGUUGUUUCCGUUGACCUAACCGCUGGAAGCCGGAUGACAAGUGGUGGUUACAUGAUGAUCACGGUGUGGUUGUCGAUGGUGGUUAUUUGGAUGAUAAACGGGUGGUGACCGGAAGCUAGGAGUCUUAUACGGUUUCUGUAGAGAUGACUCAACACUUAAUCAACUCGGUCAACUAUGGUAAACAGAGACGAGACAUGUCAGAUUCGUUUAACAAUAGAAAUGGAGGAUUCAAAGAGGUUCUGGUGCAAAUUGUGCUAUUAUACAUUAUAAAGCAAGAGUUCCUUACUUAUUGUGAGGCUCCGACACGUUUCCGAGAAGUGACCAACAUAUGUCUCACUACAUAUGGGGAUACAACGCAUGAGCAUAAGGAUAUUUAGUAGCAGAUUUUGGCAAAAGAUCAACCAAAUAAGAAGCUUAAAUAGGAACGAGAUAAAUGGAUUGAACGUUUACUUUUCUAUUUUAAUAUUUACGUUACUACUUGAACGUUUGUUUUAUUAAAAGUUUUAUGUAAACACUCGUAAAUGGUAUUUUUUGUUGUUGGUCCACCCGUGUAACACACGAGAACUUAGACUAGUUAUUAUAAUAUAUGAUUAAUUUUACAGGUUA